rnacentral:piRNA from 1 species
UUGAAGUUACAUGUAUGACUGCUGAAUGGA